UACGAAGGGGGCUAGCGUUGCUCGGAAUCACUGGGCGUAAAGGGUGCGUAGGCGGGUCUUUAAGUCAGAGGUGAAAUCCUGGAGCUCAACUCCAGAACUGCCUUUGAUACAGCACAUCUGGAGUCCGGAAGAGGUGGGUGGAAUUCCUAGUGUAGAGGUGAAAUUCGUAGAUAUUAGGAAGAACACCAGUGGCGAAGGCGGCUCACUGGCCCGGUACUGACGCUCAUGUGCGAAAGCGUGGGGAGCAAACAGG
rnacentral:rRNA from 1 species